rnacentral:tRNA from 1 species
GGGGAUUUAGCUCAGCCACGUAAGCACCUGCCUUGCAAGCAGGCGGUCGUGAGUUCAAUCCCCG